UUAGAGUUUGAUCCUGGCUCAGGAUGAACGCUAGCUACAGGCUUAACACAUGCAAGUCGAGGGGAAACGACGGGGAAGCUUGCUUCCUUGGGCGUCGACCGGCGCACGGGUGAGUAACGCGUAUCCAACCUGCCUCUGACUGAGGGAUAACCCGUCGAAAGUCGGCCUAAUACCUCAUGGCAUCGUCUGCGGGCAUCCAACGACGAUUAAAGAUUUCAUCGGUCAGGGAUGGGGAUGCGUCUGAUUAGCUUGUUGGCGGGGUAACGGCCCACCAAGGCGACGAUCAGUAGGGGUUCUGAGAGGAAGGUCCCCCACAUUGGAACUGAGACGCGGUCCAAACUCCUACGGGAGGCAGCAGUGAGGAAUAUUGGUCAAUGGGCGAGAGCCUGAACCAGCCAAGUAGCGUGCAGGAAGACGGCCCUAUGGGUUGUAAACUGCUUUUAUGCGGGGAUAAAGUGAGGGACGUGUCCUUCAUUGCAGGUACCGCAUGAAUAAGGACCGGCUAAUUCCGUGCCAGCAGCCGCGGUAAUACGGAAGGUCCGGGCGUUAUCCGGAUUUAUUGGGUUUAAAGGGAGCGUAGGCUGUGGAUUAAGCGUGUUGUGAAAUGCAGGUGCUCAACGUCUGCACUGCAGCGCGAACUGGUCCACUUGAGUGUGCACAACGCAGGCGGAAUUCGUCGUGUAGCGGUGAAAUGCUUAGAUAUGACGAAGAACUCCGAUUGCGAAGGCAGCUUGCGGGAGCACAACUGACGCUGAAGCUCGAAAGUGCGGGUAUCGAACAGGAUUAGAUACCCUGGUAGUCCGCACGGUAA
rnacentral:rRNA from 1 species